rnacentral:rRNA from 1 species
GAUGAACGCUAGCUACAGGCUUAACACAUGCAAGUCGAGGGGAAACGGCAUUGAGUGCUUGCACUCUUUGGACGUCGACCGGCGCACGGGUGAGUAACGCGUAUCCAACCUUCCCAUUACUGUGGGAUAACCUGCCGAAAGGCAGACUAAUACCGCAUAGUCUUCGAUGACGGCAUCAGAUUUGAAGUAAAGAUUUAUCGGUAAUGGAUGGGGAUGCGUCUGAUUAGCUUGUUGGCGGGGUAACGGCCCACCAAGGCUACGAUCAGUAGGGGUUCUGAGGGGAAGGUCCCCCACAUUGGAACUGAGACACGGUCCAAACUCCUACGGGAGGCAGCAGUGAGGAAUAUUGGUCAAUGGACGGAAGUCUGAACCAGCCAAGUAGCGUGCAGGAGGACGGCCCUAUGGGUUGUAAACUGCUUUUGUAUGGGGAUAAAGUUAGGGACGUGUCCCUAUUUGCAGGUACCAUACGAAUAAGAACCGGCUAAUUCCGUG